UACAGAGGGGGCAAGCGUUGUUCGGAAUUACUGGGCGUAAAGGGCGCGUAGGCGGCCUGCUAAGUCGAACGUGAAAUCCCUGGGCUCAACCCAGGAACUGCGUCCGAUACUGGUUGGCUUGAAUCCGGGAGAGGGACGUGGAAUUCCAGGUGUAGCGGUGAAAUGCGUAGAUAUCUGGAGGAACACCGGUGGCGAAGGCGACGUCCUGGACCGGCAUUGACGCUGAGGCGCGAAAGCUAGGGGAGCAAACGGG
rnacentral:rRNA from 1 species